GCCUCCGUGGCACAAUGGUUAGCGCGUGAGGCUUUUAACCUCAAGGCUGUGGGUUCGAGCCCCACCGGAGGCG